rnacentral:rRNA from 1 species
UACAGAGGUCUCAAGCGUUGUUCGGAUUCAUUGGGCGUAAAGGGUGCGUAGGUGGCAUGGUAAGUCGGAUGUGAAAUCCCGGGGCUCAACCCCGGAACUGCAUUCGAUACUGCUGCGCUAGAGUACUGGAGAGGAGAUUGGAAUUUACGGUGUAGCAGUGAAAUGCGUAGAUAUCGUAAGGAAGACCAGUGGCGAAGGCGGAUCUCUGGACAGUUACUGACGCUGAUGCACGAAGGCCAGGGGAGCAAACGGG